rnacentral:rRNA from 1 species
UACAGAGGGGGCAAGCGUUGUUCGGAAUUACUGGGCUUAAAGGGCGCGUAGGCGGCCUGCUAAGUCGAACGUGAAAUCCCUGGGCUCAACCCAGGAACUGCGUCCGAUACUGGUUGGCUUGAAUCCGGGAGAGGGAUGUGGAAUUCCAGGUGUAGCGGUGAAAUGCGUAGAUAUCAGGAGGAACACCGAUGGCGAAGGCAGCGCGCUGGGACGGUACUGACGCUGAGGCGCGAAAGCGUGGGGAGCGAACAGG